UGAUUCACAAUUUUUUAAACG
ensembl:piRNA 21ur-11106 ncRNA